UAAAGUAUUAAUGAGGAUGUCGUAAAUAAAAUAACAUUACCAAUCAAGACAGCGUUUUAAAAGAUAACCUAUGUAUGAACUGGAUCAGUUGGAACAUACGAUAGAAGAUAGUAUUUUAGAAUAUUAUCGAAACUUAAUGAAUGAGACUCAUAAUAAUAUACUAAAUACAUAACCUUUUUAUUUUAAAUUAUAUCAGUGCAUAAUGCAAAUACUGCAUCAAAGAAUGAAAAUACAGCGUGAAUAAUCAAUCAAAAAUUUUAAUCAAUGUAUCGUUAAAUAUUGGGCCCAUUUUCUUCGAUGUAAUGUUAAAAAUCAGAACCGGCUGUAUAAAUAUUCCUUUAACGUGAAUUUUGUUAAAAUUUGUAAGUUUCGUUGAUAUAUGGUCAUUGAAAUGUAAACACAAGUCAACAUAUACUUACGUAUACGUUACAAAUAAUCCGUUUCAUUUGCCAAACAAUAAAUACAAAUAUAAGACAACAUUUUAGAAUAUUAUCAAAACUUAAAGAAUGGACUCGUAUAUGGAAUACAUAAACUUUAUUUUAAUUUCUAUCAGGGCAUAAUGCAAAUGCUGCAUCAAAGAAUGAAAAUACAGUGUAAAUAGUUAAUCAAAAAUUUUAACGAAUAUAUUGUUAAAUAUCGGACCCAUUUUCUUCGAUAUAAUGUUAAAAAUCAAAACCAGCUGCAUAAAUAUUUCUUUAACAUGAAUUUUGUUAAAAUUACUUAAGUAUACAUUGACUCGCGUUUACAUUUCAGUGACCAUAUGUCAACAAAACUCAUAAAUUUUAACAAAAUUCAUGUGAUAGAAAUGUUUAUACAACUGGUUCUGAUUUUUAACAUUACAGCGAAGAAAAUGGGUCCGAUAAUUAACGAUACAUUAAAUAAAAUUUAUGAUUGAUUAUUCAUGCUUUAUUUACAUUUUUGAUGCAGCAUUUGUAUUAUGCAUUAAUAGAAAUAAAAAUAAAAUGUAUAUGUAUGCAGUAUAUUAAGAGUUUCAUUCAUUAAAUUUCGAUAACAUUCUAAAAUGUCAUCUUAUACUUGUAUUUAUUGGUUGGUAAAUGAGACGGACUAUUUGUAACGUAUACAUAAGUAUACAUUGACUUGCGUUUACAUUUCAGUGACCAUAUAUCAACGAAACUCACAAAUUUUAACAAAAGUCAUGUGAAAGGAAUGUUUAUACAACCGGUUCUGACUUUUAACGUUACAGUGAAAAAAAUGGGCCCGAUAAUUAACGAUACAUUAAAUAAAAUUUUUUAAAUUGAUUAUUCAUGCUUUAUUUGCAUUUUUGAUGCAGUACUUGUAUUAUGCAUUGAUAGAAAUUAAAUUAAAGUGUAUAUGUAUGCAGUAUAUUAUGAGUCUCAUUCAUUAAGUUUUGAUAACAUUCUAAAAUGUUAUUUUAUACUUGUAUUUAUUGUUUGAUAAAUGAGACGGACUAUUUAUGUAUAACGUAUACAUAAGUAUACAUUGACUUGCGUUUACAUUUUAGUGACCAUAUGUCAACGAAACUCAUAAAUUUUAACAAAAUUCAUGUUAAAGGAAUAUUUAUACAGCGGGUCCUGAUUGUCAACACUACAUUGAAGAAAAUUGAUCUGAUAUUUAACGAAGUAUUGAUUAAAGUUUUGGAUUGAUUAUUCAGGCAUUCAUGCAUUUGCAUUCUUUGCAUUAUGCACUGACAGAAAUUCAAAUAAAGUGUUUAUGUAUUCCGUAUAUUAUAAAUCCUAUUCUUUAAGUUUCGAUAAUAUUCUUUACUUGUAUUUAAAUAUUAGUAAAAGAUAACAUUUUAGAAUAUUAUUGAAACUUAAAGAAUGGGACUCAGAGUGAUUUCACAUGCGGCAUAACUUGCGUAAACGUACCUUGCGUCAACCAAUCAAAUCGUCUUUAACAUGCCCUAAGUGUUCCUAAAAUCGUCUCAGCGCACUAUAAAAACAAUAUAAUUGGUCGACGCAAGUUACGCCACAUGUGAAGUCACCCUGAGUCUCAUUCUUCAAGUUUUGAUAAUAUUCUAAAAUGUUAUUUUUUAAUGUAAAAUCAUAUAAAAUCACUCUCAUAAUAUACUGAAUACAUAAACACUUUAUUUUAAUUUCUUUCAGUGCAUAAUGUAAAUACUGCAUCAAAGAAUGCAAAUACAGCGUAAACAAUCAAUCAAAAAUUUUAUGUAUGGUUAAAUAUCAGGCCCAUUUUCUUCGAUGUAAUGUUAAAAAUCAGAACCGGCUGUAUAAAUAUUUCUUUAACAUGAAUUUUGUUAAAAAUUAUGAGUUUCGUUGAUAUAUGGUCACUGAAAGGUGAAUACAAGUCAAUGUAUACAUAUGUAUACGUUACAAAUAGUCCGUUUAUUUGCCAAACAAUAAAUACAAGUAUAAGAUAAUAUUUUAGAAUAUUAUCGAAACUUAAAGAAUGGGACUCGGAAUAUGCGGAAUAUAUAAACAUUUUAUUUUAAUUUCUAUCAGUGCAUAACGCAAACACUGCAAAAAAGAAUGUAAAUACAGUGUAAAUAAUCAGAAAUUUUAAUGAAUGUAUCGUUAAAUAUCAGGUCCAUUUUUUUCGAUGUAAUAUUAAAAGUCAGAACCGGGUAUAUAAAUAUUCCUUUAAUAAAUUUUGUUAAAAUUUAUGAAUUUCGUUUACAUAUCGUUUUCAUAAUGUAAAUUAAAGUAUUAAUAAAAAUGUCGUAAAUAAGAUAACAUUACCAAUCAAGACAACGUUUUAAAAGAUAACCUAUGUUUGAACUGGAUCAAUUCAAACAUACGAUAUAAGAUAGUAUUUUAGAAUAUUAUUGAAACUUAAAGAAUGGGACUCAUAUUAUACGGAAUACAUAAACUUUAUUUUAAUUUCUGUCAGUGCAUAAUGCAAAUACUGCAUCAAAGAAUGCAAAUACAGCGUGAAUAAUCUGUCAAAAGUUUGAGGUUAAUGACGUGUUGACGUGCUUGAGGAGGUUAGAAGCGAGUUAGUUUUUAGUUUUAUGCAUGAUUUGCAUAUCACAUCGCGGAUUAUAACGUGGAGGGAAAUACAGUUGUGCCCAACUUGAAGAUCAGUACAACACUAUGCGCUGUACAAUCAGAUAAGUCACAUAAAAUUUUCAUUCCUCCUAUGAAAUAAGCAUUCUAAUAUAAGAUUAAUACUUUGUGUUAUGUUUCAUUUUCAGUUUAUGUCAAAAAAAAGAAAAAAGAAACGCUUCAUCUGAACCUAAAGAAGAAUAGAAGGAGAGAAAAGAGUGAACGAGUAAGGAAAGAGAGAUAUAAUUAAUCUCAAAUUUCAGAAUUUACACCCAACUGAUCUGCCAAUGUCAUGGCUGUAAUAUCGGUGAUGUUUAUAUGGAUGCCAAAGAUCAUCUGUACGUUUUAGUCUAUUUAAUAACUGUCAAACAUUCUAUGCGAGUCGGAUACUUAUAUGAAUAAGGUACAGAAAUGUAUCGAUAAGGCUCUUAGUCAAAUCAUAAACUAAAACGUAGGUAUUUAAACAAUUUAUGAUUCCAAAUCAUGAAUAUAAAUGAUUCCAAACACGUCAUCGGCAGGCUAGAUAGGUGACCUUAUAGUUUGUAUACUUUGCUGUAAUUGUUUCAGACAAGAUUUCAUGCUUUUCAAUUAUUCAAUACGUUGCAAAAGAAUAAACCAUUUACUUCAUUCUAUCAUUUUUUUGGCAAAUUCCUAUUACACAGAUAUUAUGAAUUAAAAUAACAAUUUGAAUGUUUUAUUAUACUUGCAAAUACCAGUUCAAAACGUGCAGUCUCCAGACAAUCUUUUAAAUCGUUGUUUUGAACAGUAAUGUUAUUUUAUUCACAAAUUACCAAUUAGUGUUUUUUAAUUAUCCUAAUGAAAACAAAACUCAAAAAGUUUGAAAAAAUGUUAAAGAAAUAAUUAUAUUGUCAGUCCUGAAUUUUGACAUUACGGACAAUUCGGACAGCAAAAGUAUUCGAUAUAUGAUCUUAUGUAAUUUAUAACAAUUUGAUAAUUGUUUAUAUACCUUAAAUUACGUAUAUACUUUAAAAUGAUAUAUGUAUUAUGGUUAAACAUUAACUUUUUUAAUGUGUCUUGAAAAGUAAUAUACGAAAUACAUAUACACUUUAUUUUUUAAUUUUUAUCAGUACAUAAUGCAAACAUUGCAUUAAAGAAUAUAGUGUAAAUAAUCAAUCAAAAAUUUUAAUGAAUGUAUCGUUAAAUAGUAAGUCCAUUUUCUUCGAUGUAAGGUUAAAAGUCAGAAUCGGCUGUAUUCAUGUAAGUAUCUGACUCGCACAGAAUGCUUGACAGUUAUUAAAUAAACUAAAACGUACAGAUGAUCUUUGGCAUCCAUAUAAACAUUACUGAUAUUACAGUCAUGACAUUGGCAGAUCAGUUGGGUGUAAAUUCUGAAAUUUGAGAUUAAUUAUAUCUCUCUUUCCUUACUCGUUCACUCUUUUCUCUCCUUCUAUUCUUCUUUAGGUUCAGAUGAAGCGCUUCUUUUUUCUUUCUUUUGACAUAAACUGAAAAUGAAACAUAACACAAAGUAUUAAUCUUAUAUUAGAAUGCUUAUUUCAUAGGAGGAAUGAAAAUUUUAUGUGACUUAUCUGAUUGUACAGCGCAUAGUGUUGUACUGAUCUUCAAGUUGGGCACAACUGUAUUUCCUUCCACGAUAUAAUCCGCGAUAUGAUACGCAAAUCAUGCAUAAAACUAAAAAUUAACUCGCCUCUAACCUCCUCGCGCACGUCAACACGUCAUUAACCUCAAACUUUUGAUUGAUUAUUCACGCUGUAUUUGCAUUCUUUGAUGCAGUAUUUACAUUAUGCAUUGACAGAAAUUAAAAUAAAGUUUAUGUAUUCCGUAUAAUAUGUGUUUCAUUCUUUAAGUUUCGAUAAUAUUCUAAAAUACUAUCUUAUAUCGUAUGUUUAAAUUGGUCCAGUUCAAACAUAGGUUAUUUUUUAAAACGUUGUCUUGAUUGGUAAUGUUAUCUUAUUUACAUUUUCAUUAAUACUUUAAUUUACAUUAUGAAAACGAUAUGUGAACGAAAUUCAUAAAUUUUAACAAAAUUCAUUAAAGGAAUAUUUAUAUACCCGGUUCUCAUUUUUAAUAUUACAUUGAAGAAAAUGGGCCUGAUAUUUAACGAUACAUUCAUUAAAAUUUCUGAUUGAUUAUUUACACUGUAUUUCCAUUCUUUUUUGCAGUGUUUGCAUUAUGCACCGAUAGAAAUUAAAAUAAAAUGUUUAUGUAUUCCGCAUAUUCUGAGUCCCAUUCGUUAAGUUUCGAUAAUAUUCUAAAAUAUUAUCUUAUACUUGUAUUUAUUGUUUGGCAAAUAAACGGACAAUUUGUAACGUAUACAUAUGUAUACAUUGACUUGUAUUCACCUUUCAGUGACCAUAUAUCAAUGAAACACUCAUAAUUUUUAACAAAAUUCAUGUUAAAGAAAUAUUUAUACAGCCGGUUCUCAUUUUUAACAUUACAUCAAAGAAAAUGGGCUGAUAUUUAACGAUACAUAAAAUUUUUGAUUGAUUAUUUACGCUGUAUUUGCAUUCUUUGAUGCAGUAUUUACAUUAUGCACUGAAAGAAAUUAAAAUAAAGUGUUUAUGUAUUCAGUAUAUUAUGAGAGUGAUUUUACAUGAUUUUACAUUAAAAAAUAACAUUUUAGAAUAUUAUCAAAACUUGAAGAAUGAGACUCAGGGUGACUUCACAUGUGGCGUACCUUGCGUCGACCAAUUAUAUUGUUUUUAUAGUGCGCUGAGACGAUUUAGGAACAUUUAGGGCAUGUUAAAGACGAUUUGAUUGGUUGACGCAAGGAGGACAUUGAUAAAGAGACUUUUCUAAAAAUAAAUGAAAAUAAAGUGACACGAUUAAUCACAACAAUUCGAGGAGUUCGCUUUUUUCUAGAAAAAAGAAAACAAUUGAUAGACACAUUAAAAUUAAAGGAACUGAGUGAAGAAACAAAAAGCAAAUUUUCACAAUGCAAUAGUGAUAUAAAACCUUCGGUAUGUAUAAUAUACUUUUAGUUAAAAAAAUAUAUGUUACAUAUUAUAUACUUUUUCGGUAUAUAUUAUAUUCAUCAAGGCUUUUGUUUUAGUUUGAUAGACAUCGUAUGCAUCGAAAAAUUAUCCAAUAGAUGAAUCAUUAAAUGCAACAUUAACUGAAGACUUUGAUUGGACAUAACACUGACAAGCAGAGUACAUCAAAUAAUUUAUCAGAUGCAUCUAGUAAUGAUGAAGAUAAUAUAAAUCCUUCAAUUAAUAAAUGUAUCAUUAGUAAAGAAAAAAAAUUAAAGAAAAAUAAUAAUGCUGAAAAUGAAUUUUAAAAAAUUUUAUACGCUAUUAAUUGUUCUACAGCAGUUCAAAAUACGGUAAUAUUUUUAUGCAAAAUAUUUUAUACAUAUUUUGUUAAUUUUAUUAAUUUUAUUAAAUAUUCUAAACAUAUGUUUUUGUCAUUUUUAAUAGGAUUUUAAAAAAUUGUUACAAAACUUUGUUGACAGCUAAAUUAUUAUAAAAUUUUAUGAAUACCAUGACAUACUUGAAGCUAAACGUAGAAAAUUAACUGAUCUUGAUUUUACUUAAUUUAUGUUUCAAAAAUCUGAAAACGAGACAGAAA